GUGUCAGCAGCCGCGGUAAUACGGAGGGUGCAAGCGUUAUCCGGAAUCACUGGGUUUAAAGGGUGCGUAGGCUGUUAGAUAAGUCAGUUGUGAAAUUCCCCGGCUUAACCGGGUGGACUGCGAAUGAUACUGUUUAACUUGAAUGAGGUUGAGGUAGGCGGAAUGUGGCAUGUAGCGGUGAAAUGCUUAGAUAUGCCAUAGAACACCGAUUGCGAAGGCAGCUUGCUGGGCCUUCAUUGACGCUGAGGCACGAAAGCGUGGGGAGCAAACAGGAUUAGAAACCCUCGUAGUCC
rnacentral:rRNA from 1 species